rnacentral:rRNA from 1 species
GACGAACGCUGGCGGCGUGCUUAACACAUGCAAGUCGAACGGAAAGGCCCUGCUUUUGUGGGGUGCUCGAGUGGCGAACGGGUGAGUAACACGUGAGUAACCUGCCAUUGACUUUGGGAUAACUUCAGGAAACUGGGGCUAAUACCGGAUAGGAGCUCCUGCUGCAUGGUGGGGGUUGGAAAGUUUCGGCGGUUGGGGAUGGACUCGCGGCUUAUCAGCUUGUUGGUGGGGUAGUGGCUUACCAAGGCUUUGACGGGUAGCCGGCCUGAGAGGGUGAGCGGCCACACCGGGCCUGAGAUACGGCCCAGACUCCUCCGCGACGCAGCAGUGGGGUAUAUUGCACUGUGCGCGGAAGCCUGGUGCAGCCCCGCCGCGUGCGGGAUGACGGCCUUCGGUUUGUAUUCCGCUUCCGCCUGUGACGAAGUGUGAGUGACGGUAAUGGGUAAAGAAGCACCGGCUAACUCCGUG